rnacentral:rRNA from 1 species
GCACUCUGAUCCAGCCAUGCCGCGUGCAGGAAGACUGCCCUAUGGGUUGUAAACUGCUUUUAUAGAGGAAGAAACCUCUCUACGUGUAGGGAGCUGACGGUACUCUACGAAUAAGGAUCGGCUAACUCCGUGCCAGCAGCCGCGGUAAUACGGAGGAUCCAAGCGUUAUCCGGAAUCAUUGGGUUUAAAGGGUCCGUAGGCGGGCAGUUAAGUCAGUGGUGAAAGUCUUCCGCUCAACGGGAGAAUUGCCAUUGAUACUGAUUGUCUUGAGUCAUUAUGAAGUGGUUAGAAUGAGUAGUGUAGCGGUGAAAUGCAUAGAUAUUACUCAGAAUACCGAUUGCGAAGGCAGAUCACUAAUAAUGUACUGACGCUGAUGGACGAAAGCGUAGGUAGCGAACAGGAUUAGAUACCCUGGUAGUCUACGCCGUAAACGAUGGUUACUAGCUGUUUGGACGAUUGAGUCUGAGUGGCUAAGCGAAAGUGAUAAGUAACCCACCUGGGGAGUACGUUCGCAAGAAUGAAACUCAAAUG